rnacentral:rRNA from 1 species
GGGGAACUGAAACAUCUAAGUACCCGGAGGAAAGGAAAUCAACAGAUACUCCGCUAGUAGUGGCGAGCGAACGCGGACCAGCCGAGCCUUGAGGAUGACCAGAACAGACUGGAAAGUCUGGCCAGAGCGGGUGACAGCCCCGUAUGGGAAGUCUGAUGGGACGCAUUAAGUAGGGCGGGACACGUGAAAUCCUGUCUGAAGAUCGGGGGACCACCCUCGAAGGCUAAGUACUCCUUACUGACCGAUAGCGAACCAGUACCGUGAGGGAAAGGUGAAAAGCACCCCGACGAGGGGAGUGAAACAGUUUCUGAAACCGGACGCCUACAAGCAGUCGGAGCAUCCUUGAGAUGUGACGGCGUACCUUUUGUAUAAUGGGUCAACGACUUGGUCUGUCUGGCAAGCUUAAGCCGUUAGGUGUAGGCGCAGCGAAAGCGAGUCUUAAAAGGGCGCAUGAGUCAGACGGAUCAGACCCGAAACCGAGUGAUCUAGGCAUGAGCAGGAUGAAGGUUGGGUAACACCAACUGGAGGUCCGAACCCACACCUGUUGAAAAAGGUCGGGAUGACUUGUGCCUAGGGGUGAAAGGCCAAUCAAACUCGGAGAUAGCUGGUUCUCCGCGAAAGCUAUUUAGGUAGCGCCUCGGACGUAUCCCUCGGGGGGUAGAGCACUGCAUGGAUGAUGGGGGCCCACAGCCUUACUGAGUCUAAGCAAACUCCGAAUACCCGAGAGGACUAUCCGGGAGACACACGGCGGGUGCUAACGUCCGUCGUGGAGAGGGAAACA